GGUUCAAUAACAUAAUGGUAAUGUUUUAGAUUGCAAAUCUAAGAAUGACAGUUCAAAUCUGUCUUGGACCU
rnacentral:tRNA from 1 species